GGGGAAUAUUGCGCAAUGGGCGUAAGCCUGACGCAGCGACGCCUCGUGAGGGAUGAAGGUCUUCGGAUCGUAAACCUCUGUCAAGAGGGAAGAAACCCUUGAGUUCGAACAGGACUCUUGGCUGACGGUACCUCAAAAGGAAGCACCGGCUAACUCCGUGCCAGCAGCCGCGGUAAUACGGAGGGUGCAAGCGUUGAUCGGAAUCACUGGGCGUAAAGCGCUCGUAGGCGGCAUGGUCAGUCAGACGUGAAAUCCCGUGGCUUAACCGCGGAACUGCGUUUGAUACUGCCAGGCUUGAGUGUCGGAGAGGGUGGCGGAAUUCCGGGUGUAGGAGUGAAAUCCGUAGAUAUCCGGAGGAACACCAGUGGCGAAGGCGGCCACCUGGACGACAACUGACGCUGAGGAGCGAAAGCGUGGGGAGCAAAC
rnacentral:rRNA from 1 species